GGCACAGACACACCUGCUUUGAUUGUGAUCCGGUGACACACACAGACACACACACACACACACACACACACCUGUUGUCUCUGCCGCAUGUUUUUCUGAUAUUUCACCCACGCUCCAGAUAGAUGUUUUGACAGCAGCAGAUUUGAACAAACACAUCUCAGGUGACGUGUGCCUAUGCAAAGAGGAUUCACACAGCCCAGCGGGGCGGGCUGUUGACUCCAGUAUCCCGGAGAGGCAAAGACAGAAUGACUGAUCUUCGACCUUUGGACUUGAAAUAUUGACAGUGUGUCAACAUCCUCCGGCCCGGCACAUGUAUCUCGCUCGACUUUGAUGUUUGGAACUGGUCUGAAGGAGGAAAGAACUGGUUUGUGAACUGAGCCGUGCGGCAUGUUGUGGUCGAGCGUGCGUCACGUCAGCUGCCUUAAUCAAUGUGUGUGUUCAGUAAGGCCAGGCUGGAUGACAUCUGGGCUGAGGGAGCAGGAUUACCUCGCUGUGUGUGUUUGAUGGAUUGACGAGGGCCCAAGCCGCCUCAGUCACUGAUCAAAGUCUGUAUUCAAACCUGAAUGGAAAGCUUGAGGUUCCUUGUGUUUUCCCGAUGGGGACAAUGAGACUUGAGGUGUUUCCCCUGAUGGUCCGACUCCCGCUCAGCCGUCCUACGGUGCAAACACGAGCCCAUCUGGCGAACUUAAGCAAGCCUGCGGGCUGGUGUAGUUGAGUCAGAGGCCGACCUUGACACAGCAAACCUGGCAUCAAUCCUUCAUGUCAGCGAGCACCCAACCAACCUGAUGAAUGUGUCACCGAACAAGAGUGAUGCUGAACUCCUGCCAGCUCCAGAGGCGCUGUUCCCCCCCCCCGCUGACUGCGGCCCCUGACCUUCCCAUGUAAAAUUAAAACGUCCCCAGAGGGAAUGCAAAUUUUAAACAGUACAUUAACAUAAAAAACACAUCAGUGUCAACCGGUGGAAAGUAAGAAAAAAGCCAUUUUGAAAGGGUAGAAAAACAGGCUGGAUGUUUUUUGUCUUGUCAAAUAUGAAAUUAAGGUCAAAAUGCUGACUGCUACUUAACAGAGAGGCAUGUUCUUUUACUGAACAGCAGCCACUUCAGUCAAAAGUGACAAGUUUUGUGAUUUUAUAUGGAUAACUGCUUAUUAAAGGAAGAAAAUAUAAAAUCAGGUGAAAUUAUGAAAUAAAACGUCAUCAUUAUGAGACAAAAAAAGUCAUAAUUUUGAGGUAAGAAGUCACA